rnacentral:rRNA from 1 species
AUUGAACGCUGGCGGCAUGCCUUACACAUGCAAGUCGAACGGCAGCACGGGAGCUUGCUCCUGGUGGCGAGUGGCGAACGGGUGAGUAAUACAUCGGAACGUACCCUGAAGUGGGGGAUAACGUAGCGAAAGUUACGCUAAUACCGCAUAUUCUGUGAGCAGGAAAGAGGGGGAUUGCAAGACCUCUUGCUUUAGGAGCGGCCGAUGUCGGAUUAGCUAGUUGGUGAGGUAAAGGCUCACCAAGGCGACGAUCCGUAGCGGGUCUGAGAGGAUGAUCCGCCACACUGGGACUGAGACACGGCCCAGACUCCUACGGGAGGCAGCAGUGGGGAAUUUUGGACAAUGGGCGCAAGCCUGAUCCAGCCAUGCCGCGUGAGUGAAGAAGGCCUC